rnacentral:rRNA from 1 species
AUACGUAGGUGGCAAGCGUUAUCCGGAAUUAUUGGGCGUAAAGAGUGAGCAGGCGGUUAAUUAAGUCUGAGGUUAAAGCGUGGGGCUCAACCCCAUAAAGCCUUGGAAACUGAUUGACUAGAGUACGGGAGAAGUGAAGGGAACUCCAUGUGUAGCGGUGAAAUGCGUAGAGAUAUGGAAGAACACCAGUGGCGAAGGCGCUACACUAGACCGAAACUGACGCUCAGUCACGAAAGCGUGGGUAGCAAAUAGGAUUAGAUUCCCUAGUAGUACACGCUGUAAACGAUGACAACUAAAUAUUGCCGCGAGGCAGUGUUGAAGCUAACGCAUUAAGUUGUCAGCCUGGGGAGUACGGUCGCAAGACUGAAACUUAAAGGAAUUGGCGGGG